rnacentral:rRNA from 1 species
CCUACGGGUGGCUGCAGUGGGGAAUAUUGCACAAUGGGGGAAACCCUGAUGCAGCGACGCCGCGUGAGUGAAGAAGUAUUUCGGUAUGUAAAGCUCUAUCAGCAGGGAAGAACAUGACGGUACCUGACUAAGAAGCCCCGGCUAACUACGUGCCAGCAGCCGCGGUAAUACGUAGGGGGCAAGCGUUAUCCGGAUUUACUGGGUGUAAAGGGAGCGUAGACGGUGAUGCAAGUCAGAAGUGAAAGCCCGGGGCUCAACUCCGGGACUGCUUUUGAAACUGCAGAGCUUGAGUGGAGUAGAGGUAGGCGGAAUUCCCGGUGUAGCGGUGAAAUGCGUAGAGAUCGGGAGGAACACCAGUGGCGAAGGCGGCCUACUGGGCUCUAACUGACGCUGAGGCACGAAAGCGUGGGUAGCAAACAGGAUUAGAUACCCUUGUAGUC